rnacentral:rRNA from 1 species
GGANACCUGCCCAAAAGAGGGGGAUAACACUUGGAAACAGGUGCUAAUACCGCAUAACCAUAGUUACCGCAUGGUAACUAUGUAAAAGGUGGCUAUGCUACCGCUUUUGGAUGGGCCCGCGGCGCAUUAGCUAGUUGGUGGGGUAAAGGCUUACCAAGGCAAUGGUGCGUAGCCGAACUGAGAGGUUGAUCGGCCACAUUGGGACUGAGACACGGCCCAAACUCCUACGGGAGGCAGCAG